rnacentral:lncRNA from 1 species
AGAACACCCCUUGCAAGACGUGGUGAGGGGGUGGAAGAAAGGCUAGGGUGUGCCUCGCACAUGUUGCCAGAAGGGCCUAGUUACAGCAUCUGCCAGCUUGGUGUUCAGAGCUGGACUCUGAUAAAGACCUAGCUCAUACUCCUGUGAUGGUAGAUACUCAGAUGGGCCUGUGACUGAGGUGAGAACCCUGAAACAUCCGGCAUAAGCUGAGCCCCAGGUAGGCUCAGAUGUUCCAAUACAGUCCUGAGGAGUGUCCUCCUAGGUCCUAUUGGUACUGGGCAUAUAGCUCAAAGUCCGCUGUCCGGCCCAAGAUGGAGUCCUGCUUUAAAGAUGGAGCCUGUUCUGUCUGUUUCCUCCUUCAAAGGUAGGGAACCAGCGUUUAAGAAGGCAGCUGUCCUUGCCCACCUUCCCGCAAGCGAAGAUGGACUCAAGCAGGGUGGCAUGCUUUUAUUCCAGCCCAGAAGACCCCAGGUAUUAUCAACCCUGGAUAAAGUCUUCAUGAUGAUCAGUGAAUUAACCAAGACUUCUCCAUCCUCCAACUCUUCCUAUAUACCACCUUUGGCAAGAGAAUCUACACUCUGGCCCAGAACUUAUAUUCAUCUUCUACUUUUUUAUGUUCAGCUUCUUAGUUUGACUAGCACAGGUUUCAUUAUUGGAAAAUCAGAGACCUCCCACUAA